UACGUAGGGUGCGAGCGUUAAUCGGAAUUACUGGGCGUAAAGCGUGCGCAGGCGGCCGCGCAAGUCGAGUGUGAAAGCCCCGAGCUUAACUUGGGAAUUGCGCUCGAAACUACGUGGCUGGAGUGUGGCAGAGGAAGGUGGAAUUCCACGUGUAGCGGUGAAAUGCGUAGAGAUGUGGAGGAACACCGAUGGCGAAGGCAGCCUUCUGGGCCAACACUGACGCUCAUGCACGAAAGCGUGGGGAGCAAACAGG
rnacentral:rRNA from 1 species